rnacentral:rRNA from 1 species
CCUACGGGAGGCAGCAGUGGGGAAUAUUGGACAAUGGGGGGAACCCUGAUCCAGCGACGCCGCGUGAGUGAAGCAGUAUUUCGGUAUGUAAAGCUCUAUCAGCAGGGAAGAAAAUGACGGUACCUGACUAAGAAGCCCCGGCUAACUACGUGCCAGCAGCCGCGGUAAUACGUAGGGGGCAAGCGUUAUCCGGAUUUACUGGGUGUAAAGGGAGCGUAGACGGUGCAGCAAGUCUGAUGUGAAAGGCCCGGGCCCAACCCCGGGAUUGCAUUGGAUACUGUCGAACUGGAGUACUGGAGAGGUAAGCGGAAUUCCUAGUGUAGCGGUGAAAUGCGUAGAUAUUAGGAGGAACACCAGUGGCGAAGGCGGCUUACUGGACUGUAACUGACGCUGAGGCUCGAAAGCGUGGGGAGCAAACAGGAUUAGAUACCCGAGUAGUC